ACACACACCAAUUCAUUCCUCAUUUUCAGUGUUUUCUCCAGGAUUUAAGCUUGAUUGCCUUUGCAGUGAAUUCCCUGAGGUUUCACUGUGGCUAUUCCUGUAAUUCUAUCAGUGUUUGAAGGAGUAAUUUAUUUUUCUGCUUAUCCAAAUCUUCUUUUGGCCAGUGCAAGGACUUAAUUAAUUUCCUUUCUACAGUCUAGAAAUGCACUGUACCCUGUUUCUUUUUGUUCAUAUAGUCCAUUGGCUUCUGCCGCUUGCUGUUCUGUGUUCCACUAAAUAUCAGCAGUGGCCAGCUUGGAAUUGACAAGGACAACUUUGCCAAUGUAGUGUCUGCUGACUUCUCUAUCACCAGUAAAAGAUAAUAAAAAUUCUGUCUGGUGGCAGUGUCAUCAAGAUAUAAUCUUCCAUUUUUAUUUCAACGUAUGCUGGUCUUUUAGUACUACAAAGCACAUUUAUGAAUGGGCCAGACUUACACAUACAUUGCUGGACUCCCAGCAGCCCAAGCUAGUAAAGCAAAUGGCGAGGAAUUGCUGGACUUUGCAGUUCAACACUACCGGUGGGUUAUAUUAUGUAUUGUCCAGUAUUUCUUAGAAGUAACUGCCCUUUGUAAAUUAAAACAGAAUGUGGUUUGAAAGUGACAGUUGUUUUGAUUACACUUUAAAAAAUUCAUAUUAAAUCAGCUAUGAUACAUUACCAAGCCUCUACCUUAGGAAGACAAUCAUACUUGGCCACUAGUGUUCACCUAUGAUAUGAUGAUGAAUACUGAUAUAUAACAAAGAGUGAGAGUGCACUUAAACUGUUAUAUUAAUGCAGUUUGACAUCACUUUCAUUACCAUGACUCAAUGCCAUAAAAAUCCAGGGAUCUAGUUUUGUGGGGCAUUAGAGAAGAAACGACUUUAUAAAACUACUCCCGUGAAUCCAUAGCAUUGAGCCAUAGCAGUUAAAGUGGUAUCAAAUUACAUUAAUUCUGUAAUGGACAUUCAUCCUUAGGACAUUAAUUCUAUACUUUAGAUGCACCCUUAGGAAUCAUAGGACAUAUCUUUAUGUAAAUAUGUAUGUGACUGCAUGGUUUAUAAUCAAAUUUUCAAACUCUGCAUCAGGUAAAUCCAGUAGUGGAAUAAUUGUAAUUCUAUAAUGUUUAAUAUAACAUAUUAUCUGUGCUGUCCCACAAGUUCCCGUGUAAUGGCUAGAGCCUUUCAGAAAUCCCAAAUAAUGGUCACACAUGCGAAAACACAGUUUUUAUAUAAUGUUGGGUGUUUAUUUAAAGAUGCAAGCAAAAUGAUCGACCAAUAAAACAACAACACCUCAUUAAAAUCAAGACCUUUCUGCUUUUUAAUACUGUCAUAACACCAAAGUUGAGGGAGCCAUUGUGGUAUAGUGUUUGAAUGCUGGACAAAACACAGGGAGAUUAGGGUUUGAAUCCCCACUCAGCCAAAGAGGGCAACUAAAAUAAUCAAAAGGUCUAGAAACCAUAUUCUCUCAAUCUUACAAAGGCAAUGGCAAAUCACUAUUGAAUAAAGCUUAUCAAGGAAUCUAUGCUAGGGUUAUCAUAAAUCAAAGUCAACUUUCAGACACAUAACAACAACAGAGUGGCUCAGGAAUAACUCUAAUUCAAAUCCAUUUGGUCAAAUGACUUCUGGGCAGCCAGGCUGAAGAGUGCAGUAAAGGCUAUCCAGAAGAUCCUUGGGAUAUCAUUGUAAGCUCACCUUUGUUAGCUUAACCUCUCUGGCUUCUGUUUCAUAUGUGAUUUCUAUUUGGAGAAUGAAGGAGAACAUUUGAAACUUGUUUUUUUAAUAAUGAGAAGGGAUACAUAUGUUAUAUUGUGAUUAUAUGUAACAAAAUGCUAUAAUCUGUGUGACAUAUCUGCCAAAAAGAAAACAAAGGCUUAUGCUAUAAGCAACUGUAUGGCAAAAUACCUGAUUUAUCUUUUUCUAAAUGGUUAUCAUGAUACAGCUUAAAUGCUUCAUUCAAAAAAAAAUAAGAUGAAAAAUGUUCGUCUCAUUUUAACAAAAAUAAUACAUUGGUUGUGCUAUUCCACAUAAUCAUUCAUCAGUGAUUCCCUGCAAAUGGCUGCCUACACAAUAAAAUAUCUGACAUUAUAUUACUCUCACUGUAAUUGCAAUGCACACCAUUGUCAAUAUCUUACUGCUCUGUCACUUCAGUUUACCUUGACAUAUCAUACUAAUAUUCUUCCAUAAAAUAUAUACCAGUGGAAUUUCUCUGAAAGUUUUGAUUGUGUGUAGUUCAAAGCAGAAGGUUAAAACGAGAAAAGGACAGGAUAUUAAUGAUGUGAAAUACUCUGGGUUACAUAGCAACCAGGCCUUGAUCAUUACUUGUGUGAAGAAACUGGCAAAGGGUCUUCAAAUACAAAUGCUGGAAAUGCAGCUUCUGAGCUAAUUUAUCAUAUGACUAAAAUGGUAGUUUCCUCAUUUAGAAUCCCUCAAUUACUCAACAUUGCAUAUUCUGGUUUUGGACAUGAAGCAAUACUUUCUACAUAAUGGGACCUGUUAGUCCACCUUUUCAGUAUCUGUGUUAGUGCUUAAAUUGGAAUGCUUGAAUUGUGCUAUAAAAAUGAUUUUUGAGAGUGGGAGCGGAAGACAUAUUUCCACCAUACAAACAUUUUAAAAUGUCCACUCCCAUUCUGCUUAGGAUGGCUGCACAUGCAUGUUUCAGGAAGAUCAGCUUUAUGCCAAAUGAAAUAAUAGGGCAGAUCCAGAAGAAGUUAUCUGAAUACAGAAAUAUUUUUAAGAAUGAGCACAGCAACAUAUUGAAGCCAUCCAAAAGUGCUGCUCAUUGAUAGCUUCAAUGCGGUGUUAUUUCCAUAUAACUUUUCAAGCUCUGGUUAAACAUGACUGUUCUCAAAGUGAGUUUUGGUGUUCCUUAGAACAAAGGGUCAAGGGCUCCUUAGCCCUAGUCAAGAAGUUAAUUGAAUGGGUGCAAUAAAGCUUACUAGAUGUGCUUAGUUCUUGUCACCUGAGGCCUCUUAGAUCAAUAAAGAUAUCUGUGUGUCUAUCAACAGAUAGUUAGAUAUAUGCACCUUCAGUACACAGAACAAUUACAUCUAUUAUCUCGUUAAUCCUCCCAUGGCCAUUAUUAAACUUAGCAGCACAUCCUGCUCUCUUUGCCUGUAUCGACCGCUGUUGAAGAAGCCAUCACUGGAUCCCACUCAAUUGGAUAACUAUCGGCCUAUCUCCAAUCUCCCCUUUUUGGGCAAGGUCAUGUAACUUGUGGUGGCCGCACAACUCCAGGCAUUCUUGGUAGAUACUGAUUUUCUAGAUCCGGCAUAGUCUGGCUUCAGGCCGGGGCAUGGUACUGAAACAGCCUUGGUCACCUUAGUUGAUGAUCUUCGCCGGGAGCUGGGCAGGGGGAGUGUGUCCCUGCUGGUUCUGCUGGACCUCUCAGCGGCCUGCAAUACUGUCGAUCACGGUAUCCUUCUGGAGCGCCUUGCUGGAAUGGGGCUUUGAGAUACUGUUUUACAGUGGCUCCGGUCCUUUCUGGAGGGUCGUUCCCAGAUGGUGUUACUGGGGGGGACACCUGCUCGGCCUCACAGCCAUUGACUUGUGGGGUCCCGCAGGGUUCAGUACUGUCCCCCAUGUUGUUCAACAUAUACAUGAAGCCGCUGAGAGAGUUUUGGGGUGCGGUGUCAUCUGUAUGCAGAUGAUGUCCAGCUCUGUCACUCCUUCCCACCUGUCACUAAGGAGGCUGUUCAGGUCCUGAACCGGUGUCUGGCCACUGUGUCGGACUGGAUGAGGGCGAACAAAUUGAAAUUGAAUCCAGACAAGACAGAGGUCCUCCUGAUCAGUCGUAGGGCCGAACAGGGUAUAGGGUUACAGCCUGUGUUGGACAGGGUCGCACUCCCCCUGAAGACACAGGUCCGCAGUCUGGGUGUUCUCCUGGACUCAUCGCUGAGCCUGGAACCCCAGGUCUCGGCGGUGGCCAGGGGAGCAUUUGCACAACUAAGACUUGUGCACCAGCUGCGCCUGUACCUUGGGAGGUCUGACUUGGCCAUGGUGGUCCACACUCUGGUUACAUCCCGUUUGGAUUAUUUCAACACGCUCUAAGUGGGGCUGCCUUUGAAGAUGGCCCGGAAGCUCCAACUAGUACAACGGCUGGCAGCCAGAUUAAUAACCGGAGCGGCUUACAGGAGCACACUACUCCCUUGUUAAGCCAGCUCCACUGGCUGCCAAUAUGCUACCGAGCCCAAUUCAAAGUGCUGGUUUUGACCUACAAAGCCCUAAACGGUUCUGGCCCAUCUUACCUGUCCAAACGUAUCUCCCCCUAUGAGCCUUCUAGAACUCUUAGAUCAUCGGGGGAGGCCCUGCUCUCGGUCCCACCAGCCUCGCAGGUAUGGCUGGUGGGAACGAGGGACAGGGCCUUCUCGGUGGUGGCUCCUUGGCUGUGGAACACCCUCCCCAGUAACAUACGGCAGAUACCAACUCUCCUAGGCUUCAGGAAAGCCUUAAAGACAUGGUUGUGCAUGCAAGCUUUUAAUGAAUGAGAACAUGGACUUUACAUGACCUGUACCAAGACUUAUGUUGAGGAUUCUAGAUGAAUGGAUUUUAAUCUUAGAUAUAUUUUAAAUUUUAUAUAAUGUGAUUUUAUUUUGUAAUGGUAUCUGCUUUUAUAUGAGUUGUUGUUUUGUACACUGUUUUUAGGCAUUGAAUUUUUGCCUAUUUAUUGUAAGCCGCCUUGAAUCCCCAUGGGGAGAAAGGCGGGGUAAAAAUGAUGUAAAUAAAUAAAUAUCAGGCAGCUAUUUUCACAUGAUAUAAAAUCUCAAAUCCUCUAUGGCAGUUAAUAAACAGGUCCUCGGGACUACUUGUAUUUUCAAUCCCUACAUAACUCCUCCUUUAGGGACUAUAUGGGGACUAUGGGAACCCCCCUCCCCAAUCCGCACUAAAAAGACAGAAGUAACUGAAGUCAACAGAUCUGCCUGUCAAGAAGCCACUGACUGACUUUCCUAACCCACUUUGUGGGAGAAAUAUCUGGUGCAAGGGGGAAUUGUGACAGGUCCUGUUUCUGUCUGUACUCGAGAUCACUCACAGGAGGGAUUGAAACCACAGCCAGCUGCUUCCCAACAUACAGAGAAAUAGACAAACAGGGCUUGGCUUCCAAUCCCCUAGUUGAAGGCAUUAUUUGUUUCCAAAAUAUGCUUCCUCCAUAAGAGGAAGCAAAAUUGAGCAGAUCACCAAUUAUAGUGUUUGAAACGUAGUAGAAAUCUUGUUAAGUAGAAGUAUGUACAUGUUAUCUAGUUGGAUAAAUAACAAAACUUAACACAGCAAACAUCCGUUAUGUUAUUUAAUGAACUAGAUGACAAGUACAUACUUCUACUUAACAAGAUUUCUACUACAUUUCAAACACUAUAAUUGGUGAUCUGCUCAAAUUUGCUCUCAAGUAGGCCAUAACUAGUUGCCAUUCUUUUACCCUGGUUGUAUUGACUCGGAUUAAAUUUAUCAGUCUGUUCAUUGCAGUUAAGUCAUAUAUAUUCAAAGGAAAUCUUCUGUUGAUGGGAUCUCCUUGUUUUUCCAAUGUUGUGCAUACAAAACGCUUGUCUCCAUUAUCAUAUGCAUAUAUUUCUUUCAUAUUGCUCAUCUAAUAGUACUAACAAAUAUAGGUCUGAUUGCAUCUGCAACUUUAUAUUCAUUUUUUCAAUGAAGUUCCACCAAGAACGUUUUUGUUUUUUCACAUAUCCACCACAUGUGGAAAAAGGUGCUCACUUAAUGAUUUCGUAUGAAUGAAUGAACAAAUCUAAUCAAGGACUAAUUCAGAUCCAGGUAGUACAGUGCAGCCCUCUGUAUCCAUUUAAUCUUUCCUGAUGGAUUCAGCCAUCCAUGUAUUUUUUUUUAAUUCCAAAAGCAAACUUUGGGCCCACUGCAGUAAAGGGAAGGCUCUGUGGAAGAUUAUAUGGUUUGUUUGCAGUGUGUCCCAGGAAAGAUCUUGGAGAACUGUUCUCAAUUAAACAAGAUAACGAGAAACUAGAUGUUUUAUACUAAAAAGAUCCAUUGUUUUAGCUGUGGUUCUCUAGUUUUGAAGUGCUGAAAGAUAUUAGGGCCAGUCCUUGUCCCUGGUUAUAAUAAUGUGUGUUUCUAUAUUGACAUUUCUACCAAAGUACUCAGGCGUAGAGAGAAACCAUACAUUGCAGACGUUAAAGUGGUGGUGAGUUACAUAUAAUCACAUUCGUGCAUGAAGUCAUAAAUGACCUGCAUAGUUCCAUUUAAUCUUAUCACCACUACCAUUGAUAAAGAUAUAUGGGGGUGGCUUUAAUCUUCACCAAGUGUUAUUCUUGUCAUAUCUUAUAUUCUCCUUUUAUUAUCAGUAUAGCAAUAAUUAUUUAGUAUUUAUUUAUUUAUUUAUUUAUUUAUUAAGACAUUUAGUAUUGCCCUAUGUCUGAAGAUCAUAGCUUGGAGCAUCCAUGCAAUUAAACAAUUUUAAAACACCCCUUCACAUAAUCAACAAAAUUAAGAAACAUCACAAGAGAAUGUACAUACAGGCCUGCAAAAUACUUCACUACCCUUGCAAAUGAGUCCAUGUUGGCACUGGAACCAGAAAGCCUGGUUUUGUAUAGUAUUCUUACUCAAUUCAGAAGAAGAAAAAUAAAGGGGGAUUUUCCUCCCUCCUUUAUACACCCAUUAUAUAUUUGUGUCAACAUUGCUUUGUAUUACUAUUCAAGGAAGUUCACUGCUGAGGUAAACAAGCAAUGAGGACUAAAUAUUGAUCUUCACUAGUUCUCAGUGCUCUUAAUUUUUUACUGAUUUCUGAAUGUGCCACAGUGAGGCCUGGGAAAGAUAUUAGUUCUACAACAUAAACCAACAGUCAAUAAAUGCAAGCUAUACUGGAUUAAAUGAGAAAACACAUUUUAAGGCUGAAGUUCAUUGAGUGAAAAUGUAUUACCAUAAUCUUGAUCCAAGCGACUUUUAACACUUGGCUGGUCCUCUGUGGUAUCAUGAGAAGAUAGACUCUCUAUGUUAUGGUUGAGCCUUAUGGCUCCGAUACUUGGAGACGUGGUCGUAAGACUCCUCGGGAGUCAGACUCUCUUGAGGAGCGAGAAAGGAAACGGCUGCGGGACUUAUUUGCAGAACCAACUGACGAAGACUCCUUUGAGGGUUUUACCGAAGGAAUGGAGGAAGAGAUGGUUAGCUCUGAGGAGGAUGAUAUGGAAUGGACUCGUGUGAGAGAGGAUCUGGGUGCCACUGGCAAUGAUAGUGUGGGAGGCGACUGGCAGGUUGCAGGAUUAGACCCGUGGACAAGCUGGAGGGAUGGAACGGGAUCCACAGCUGGGGAUGCUGUGGGGCGUAGUCAAAGGUGUUUUAGCUCUGAUGAGGAUGAUGAUGAUGAGGCACCUGGAAUUAGGGUAACAGCUGACAGCGAUGAGGAGUUGUAACUGGCAUAAAAUGGGGUUUAGAAUCCAGGGCUAAUUGCGUUGGGCAAGGUAAUCUGGACGAACGCUUGGGCUCUUGUUGGGAACUUCCUGAAGACGGGUGUGAUUCGUUUGCUGAAUACCUUGGACCUCCGUCGUCUUUUUGACGGACACUAAUUGCCUACUCUGGACUGACUGACUGACUGACUGACUGACUACGACCUCGGACUAUCCCUUCUGUGGCUAUCGGUGGAACUGGUGAACUGAAGACAUCUGUACCUGGCUUUCGACCUCGGACCGGAUUGAGACCUCGCUGACCGCUGCUGCCCUGAUUGAUGUGUUUGAACCUGGAGUUCGCUCGCUGCUCGGAGGAGUAACAUCUUAGUUACUCAAUCACAGCUUUUGGGUAGCAGAGAGGAAUCUGCUGCCAGUUAUUUGUGUUUCUUUGAAUCUUGUUUACCAGCUUUUGUUUGUUUAAAGUGCCAGGCUGAAUUAAGCAUUUUUGGUUUAACCCGGAUUAAACUCCAGUUUAAUCCGGUUUAUCUUUUGAAACGUUUUUUAGUUUCUUUUUCUCUGAAGGCAAGUGUUUGCCUAGCCCUUUGUCUUUUACGGGCGUUUUUGGUUCUGUAACUUUAAUAAACUGUGUUAAAUCUUA